GCAAGUCGAACGCGAAAGUCGCCUUCGGGUGGCGAGUAGAGUGGCCGACCGGUGAGUAAUACAUGGGAAUCUAUACUGCAGUGGGGGACAACUCGAGGAAACUCGGGCUAAUACCGCAUACGACCUACGGGUGAAAGGGGGCUUCGGCUCUCGCUGCAGGACGAGCCCAUGUCCGAUUAGCUAGUUGGUGAGGUAAAGGCUCACGAAGGCGACGAUCGGUAGUUGGUCUGAGAGGAUGGCC
rnacentral:rRNA from 1 species